rnacentral:tmRNA from 1 species
GGGGGCGUCCUGGUUUCGACUGAACACUUGAGAUGCCGGCUGCAUGUGGAGGUUGAACGGCUGGCCUCCUUAAAAGCCGCUCAAAACAUUAAGUGCCUAUUCCAAUAACGAAUACGCCAUGGCUGCCUAAAUUGGCGCCUAGACCCAAGCCCCGACGCCUACUAGGGGGGCGGGUCCUAGCUUAGUAGGCUGGCUUGCAGCGGGGGAACCGCGCUGCCUGCGACAUCCACAGGUUCCUGGCUUGGUGCAAGGCCGACGCAGAGCGGAGCACCGGCGAGAGCAGCUAAUCUGCGUCUGAACAUGGAGAUGCUUGCAUCAACGGUGUUUAGGACAGGGGUUCGACUCCCCUCGCCUCCAGCC